rnacentral:sRNA from 1 species
GACAUUGAUCUUUUGUGCCUUAAGGGCCA